rnacentral:rRNA from 1 species
UACGGAGGGAGCUAGCGUUGUUCGGAAUUACUGGGCGUAAAGCGCACGGAGGCGGCUUUUUAAGUCAGGGGUGAAAUCCCGGGGCUCAACCCCGGAACUGCCCUUGAAACUGGGAAGCUAGAAUCUUGGAGAGGCGAGUGGAAUUCCGAGUGUAGAGGUGAAAUUCGUAGAUAUUCGGAAGAACACCAGUGGCGAAGGCGAAUCGCGGGACAAGUAUUGACGUUGAGGUGCGAAAGCGUGGGGAGCAAACAGG